ensembl:lncRNA
AUGUUCUCGCUCAUAGGCGGGUGUUGAACAAGAAAACACAUGGACACAGGGAGGGGAGCAUCACACACUGAGGUCUGUUGGGGGGACUAGGGGAAGGACAGCAGGGGGAUAGGGAGUUGGGGAGGGAUAACAUGGGGAGAAAUGCCAUAUGUAGGGAUGGGGAUGGAGGCAGCAAACCACAUUACCAUGUAUGUACCUAUGCAACAAUCCUGCAUGUUCUGCACAUGUACUUCACAACCUAAAGUACAAUAAAAUAUAUAUAUUUUAAAAAAACUCAUAUGUUGGAGUCCUAAACCCUAGUACCUAAAGAUAUGGCUAUAUUUGAAGAUAGGGUCUUUACAGAGACAAUCAAGUUAAAAUGCGGUCAUUAGGGUUAUUGGAUUAGGAUCCAGUUAGGUCCUUGUAAGAAGGGAAAAUUUGGGCACAGACAGACAUGCAGAGAGAACGAACAUUAAGACGGUCAUCUCUAAGCCAAGAAGAGAGGCCUGCAGCAGCUCCUUCCCUCACAGCCCUCAGACGCAACUUCCCUGCUGACAGUGGCAGGUUUCUUUUGCCUUCCAGACUAACUCAGAAGGAACUCUCAGACUUCCAGCUUCCAGAACUGUGAGACAAUAAACUUACAUUGUUCAAGCCACCUAAGCCACCUAGUUGCAGCACUCUGUUACAGCAGCCUAUGUAAACCAACCUCCUGAAGUGAUGAACUGACACCAAAUCUUAGGUGUCUGAGUCUGGAGCCUGUACUCAGCUUGACACCACUCUCUGCAGUCCUUACUGUUGGAGCGAUAUUUCUUCCCAGGCUUCAUGCUCCAUGAAAAUGGAUGAUCCAUCUGUGUGGGACGAAGAGGUCCAGGAAGGGAAAAGAGCUCCAACCUAUGUCACAGAAGUUCCCUGUGUUCCUCCUGGCUCUUUGUUCAAGACAGCAAAAGAGGAUCCCAAGCAUAGAGGUCGGAUCCCUACAAAGAAGUCUGUGGCUUUACAGAGACGGAACCAGAAGUCUGUAUUUGCUUGCUAGGGCUGCUAUAAUAAAGCCCCGGGGACUAGGUGGCUUAAACAGCAGAAACGUACAUUCUCAGGGUCUUGAAGACCCCAAGUCCAAAGUCAAGGUGUUGGCAGGCUGUGCUUAUUCUUAAAGGCAUGGGGGAGUGAUCUGUUUCAGGGGCUCCUCUUGGCUUGUGAAUGGCUGUCAUUUCCCUGUGUCUUCACAUUGUCUCUCUCUGUAUGUGGCUGUAUCCAGAUUUUCUCUUCUCAUCAGGAUAGUCAUCAGAUUAGAUCCCAACCUAAUUGCCUCAUUUUAACUUAAAUACCUCUGUAAUGACCCUGUCUCCAAAUAUGGUCACAUUCUGUGUACUGAGGGCUAGGACUUCAACAGAGGAGGGUUUUUUGGGGGGCUGGGGGAAAGAGGUGCAAAAUUCAGCCCAUUGACAAAGCCCACUUAUUUCAGACUAUGGUAAACUCUGGCGUAGGAAUAUCUCCUAAUCUUCAGUGCCUAUAGGUCUGAGGUCCUCAAUCCUUUUCACCAGUAGGAGAGCAAUGGUAAAAUUUGGCCAGUCAGCAUUGCAGGCAAGACUUCGCUCUUACAGCAGGUACUGAAUGAACCAUGUACUCAAUCCCAGCCUAGUUGGACCUGCUGUCCUUCUAAAUGGAGCAAUUGCAGAAAAAGCAAAGUUCUAUGGUGAAUCCAAACAGUCUGAAACCAUGAAAUUGGGCAGCCUGGGUGUGUGGUGAAGCCCAUUAAUUAUGAUGUGCCCUGAUCAUGUUUAUUUGUCUAAACUCUUCUUGGUGUUGCCAAACUGCCCACCUUGGACAUUAAACAACAAAGAAGUGAGAAGCCACGCAGUCGUGGUCACCUGUGGCUACAGGUCUAUGGUGAGGAGGCCCAGCCAGACUGGUAGGAAGAUCUGGGACACAGGAGACACGCUGUGUCUCACUGGGAUGGGCCUUACAAGUCCCAGGUCCCAUGGGGCACAGUUUUGCAGUGACUGGUGUGGUCCCGAGUGCCAACUACCAUGUCCUUUAUCAUCAGCCAGAAGUUGUGCAGGUUAAACUGAUGGAUUGGGGGCAAGGGGAUGGAUGAUGAGGAGAGGGAAAUACUCUCAAGUCCUUUCCUAAAUGCCUUUUUCCUGCCCCAGACUGUGGUAAAAUAGAGCAGAGACCAGCUGGCCAGCCUUGUUUGUUUAAGUUGUUGACUAAUCUCCGAGUUCAUGUGCUGAGCUGGUUCAUGAAGUUCUGGAGCUUUUAUUAUCCUUAGACUUCUGACACAAUGAGACUGAAAUAAGAAACUGCUACUAUCUUUAAAAGCAGCCUAAAGGAUUGAGUGAAUCCAAAGAGUCAAGGAAUUACAAAAAGUUGUAUAAUGUUCAGUGAGAGCUACUCUGUGCCAGGCACUGUGUUGGAUUGUAGGGUAAGAAUGAAGUUAAAUUUUCUCAGCUCUGACAAGAGCUCUACUCUUCCAGAGUCAUCAGUCACAGUGAGCUUCAGCUUAUUUGAGGUAUAAUGUUUUAAAUGCAAAAUACUAAUAAGCAAAAGUAAAUAAGAGAUUUUUUAAUCUCCAUAAAAUGGAGGAUAUAGACCUAUGCUCUCCAUUGUGGCAGCCACAUUUCAGCCACACAUGGCUAAUGGUGGCCAUAUUGGACAGUAGACAUAGAGAAUAUUCUCAUCAUUGCAGAAUGUUCUAGUGAAUACAGAUAAUGAACAAUAAAUAUAAACUCAUAUAGAAUAUUUUUGUUUCAAAACAUUUUGUGAACUGCAGUUUAUGACUCUGGGAAGGUCCAGUUAAGAUUGUUAGUUUAUAUGUCAGGACUGGAAAUAACCUUAAGGAUUACUGAGAUUAAUGACCCACCCAAUGAUUAAUCCACUCUACAUCUUCCCCAGCAAGCCUCUGUCCAUGUUGGGCUUGAUAAUUCCAACAGUAGAUAUUUACCUUCAAAUGCAGUAGAUUUUAUCUGAACUUAAUCUUGAGCCCAAGACGAUUAGUAUAAUUCAGUACAUGGCUCUUAGUAAUGCUAAUUUUUCUUUGAAAGUAUUAAGAAAUUUUAUAUUCUUAUAAAUGCCUUUAGAGAAGAGUCACACAAUUUCCAUAAAAAUUGUGUAUAUCAAGGGUAGAUGUCAGAUGUAGUGUAAAUGUCAAAAAUCAAAUGAGGUCAUGUAGUCUGCCCACUUGUCCUGUGGCGUCCUUACGUUAAUAACAGUAACAAAAAAGAGUUUAGGAAUAUUAACAUGCUAAUGGAUGACAUAUAAGUAAUGUAUGUGAUAUAUGUAUUUCUCAAUAAUUUUUUUCUCAAAAAAAUUUUACAAUUGAAAAGUAAAUUAAUCUUACCUUUUAUGACACACACAUCUUGAUAAUUAUAACCAAUCACAGUAGAAAUACUUAAGCAUUUUCUUUUCUUUUUCUUUUUGAAAUGGAGUCUCGCUGUGUUGCCCAAGCUGGAGUGCAGUGGCACAUCUCGGCUCACUUCAACCUCUGCCUCCUGGGUUCAAGCCAUUCUCCUGCCUCAGCCCCCAAGUAGCUCUGAUUACAGGCGCAUACCACCACUGGUCUCGAAUUCCUGACCUCAAGUGAUCCACCCACCUCGGCCUCUCAAAGUGCUGUGAUCACAGGCGUGAGCUACCAUGCCUGAGCAUAUUUUCAUAAAAUGCCUCUGCUUGAGUAAACAGGGUAUACUGAUGUACUCUGGUUUUUCCUCAAGGCCUUGCCAUGGUCGGCACCAUGGCCCUGAAUGGGACCAUCGCACUGCUGAGGGGCACCCGCUGGGCGAGCCUGCAGCCAUCCUAUUACUGAGGGGCACCCACUGGGCGAGCCUGCAGCCAUGCUAUUCCUGUGAGGGGCACCUGCUGGGCGAGCCUGCAGCCAUCCUAUUACUGAGGGGCAUCCAUGGGGCGAGCCUGCAGCCAUCCUAUUACUGAGGGGCACCCGCUGGGUUAGCCUGCAGCCAUCCUAUUACCGAGGGGCACCCGCUGGGCGAGCCUGGAGCCAUCCUAUUGUGUGUUCCGUUUCCUGUGGGAUUCCCCUGGCUCCUCCCCAGCUUUCACCCAGCAUUUCUAACGGCCGGAGGGGAUGUCUAGCCAGUGCUUCAGUUCUUCUGUCUUUUCAU